UCACUUUCAACGCAGAUUUGGUUAACAAAAUUGAUUGACAACUAAUGGUAUCAAAUCCCCUAAACAACGACAUUAAUUCAAUUCCCAACAAACACAUCAGAACAAAGGUGAAACACUGAGCGUGAUGUCAAUAUAGCAGCCAUUCGACAUUCCUCAGGGGACAUGUGUUCAUGCUUUCGUAAUAGCAUAAUCCAAGCACAAGCUGCUAUGCUUGUUCAAGAGAAGAGAAUGGAACGAUUACCAGAAAUCAUUCGUAGUAGAGAACCAGAUAAACAAGUGGAAAACCAUGAGGGUGUACCCUGCUGAUUCAGAUUCAUUUGACAAUCAUAAAGUAGAGCAGAACAAUAAAUGAAAUCAUAAAUAACCACACAAGCACCACCUAUUGUUUUAACUGAUAUUGUUUUACAGUCCAUCCAUGGCUCCCUUCACAACAAAAUAAGAGGAAGAGCAGAAUUGAACCUAGGACGAAAAUCAAAUUAGUCUCUAUACUGAAAUCAACACAGAGCAGCAACAGCUGUGAAUCGAUGCCUCGAGCAAUAACGAGUUCAACUAUCUCUCAAUCGAACUCCAUUUUUACAAAAUCCAGACUAAAAGAAAAGACGAAAUUUGUAUGUUUGAAGUUUUUAACCAAUAAACCAAACUACCCUAAAAUCACUGAAUAUUGAACAUUUUCUGUUUUUUUCUUUUUUCUCUAGUUCCACUAAGAAUGAAUGAAAAACGAUAAGAAAAAGAAGACUAUCUCCCCCAAAAUCCUCUCUCCAAAAACCCCUCUCAAAAAAACUGACCCCUUCCGAAAUCCAUCCAAAAUGCCUCUUGAGAACGAAUUCCUGAUGAAUGUGGGGCUUGGAUUGAAUGAAAUCAAUGCAGCGCCUCACACUCAUCCAGCAAAUCCUUCUUAGAAGCUUCCAAUCGCGUGCCUUAUCUUCAAAUUGAGCGAGUGAAGGUAAUGAGAAAAUCCGCGUCAGAAACGGUUAGAUAUGGUGAUGAGGAGAGAAGGAGGAACGCGUGAGGAGGGAUUUGAGACUCACUCGC
rnacentral:lncRNA from 1 species